rnacentral:rRNA from 2 species
UGGUGGGUAGUUUGACUGGGGCGGUCUCCUCCUAAAGAGUAACGGAGGAGCACGAAGGUUGGCUAAUCCUGGUCGGACAUCAGGAGGUUAGUGCAAUGGCAUAAGCCAGCUUGACUGCGAGCGUGACGGCGCGAGCAGGUGCGAAAGCAGGUCAUAGUGAUCCGGUGGUUCUGAAUGGAAGGGCCAUCGCUCAACGGAUAAAAGGUACUCCGGGGAUAACAGGCUGAUACCGCCCAAGAGUUCAUAUCGACGGCGGUGUUUGGCACCUCGAUGUCGGCUCAUCACAUCCUGGGGCUGAAGUAGGUCCCAAGGGUAUGGCUGUUCGCCAUUUAAAGUGGUACGCGAGCUGGGUUUAGAACGUCGUGAGACAGUUCGGUCCCUAUCUGCCGUGGGCGCUGGAGAACUGAGGGGGGCUGCUCCUAGUACGAGAGGACCGGAGUGGACGCAUCACUGGUGUUCGGGUUGUCAUGCCAA